ACGAUAAGCAUAUGUACAAAUCGAUAAUCGAUAAGUAAUUAUCGAUAAGGGUCAAAAUCGAAUCGAUAAAUCGAUUGCACACCCCUACUUUUAGGAGGCUAAGAAUAAGAUAUCUCGUGUGAAACCUCUAAAGAAUCUGUCGUUAUUAGUAAAAGAAAAAAUAAUAAAAUACGAGAUUGAGCAGUUGAGAAUAAUAAUAUCCAAUUACUAGGAAUAAAUCUUGAAACGCGUUGUUCCAACUAACACAAAGAUUAAGUAAACAGGUUGUCAUUUCCCCUAAACAAGUAACAGAGCCAGCUUUAAAAUAUUGAACAUGAAGCUGAUCGUGUCCCAG
rnacentral:lncRNA from 1 species